UUGAUUUUACUACUGUUGCUUUGUAGUAUAACUUCAAGUCAGGGAUUGUGAUGCCUCCUGCUUAGAAUUGCCUUUGCUAUUCUAGGUCUCUUCUCGUUCCAGAUGAAUUUCAGGAGUGAUUUCUUUGGAUCUAUAAGCUCCUGAGACUCUGGCACUCCGCCACCCCAAGCCACUGGGCCCGCAGAACCAACAGCCCUCCUCUGCCUGCUCAGAACUCUGCAGUUCCAGACAAGCUCGGCCUCAGGGACACUGUGUGCCCACCUGUUGGGGGUUGCUCGAGCCGCUCCCCUAAGAUGGCGCCCGUUUCCUGCUUCCGGGUCCCUGUUGCCAUGCAAACAACCCUGCCAAAAUGAGUGUCUACCUAGCUACCAGUGACUGUGGCCUAUCAGCAUGCGACUUCUGCUUCGUAUUGAUUGGUUACUCAGAUCCUAUAUAAGUGUGUGUUUCUGCCCCCAACGGGCAGAAGAGGAAGAAACUUGAGGUUGGCGGAUCUUGUCAGAUCCAGCUUCGCUGUAUACAAUAAAUAUUGAGAGCUGAUCCAAA